GACGAACGCUGGCGGCGUGCCUAAUACAUGCAAGUCGAACGCUUCUUUUUCCACCGGAGCUUGCUCCACCGGACAAAGAGGAGUGGCGACCGGGUGAGUAACACGUGGGUAACCUGCCCAUCAGAAGGGGAUAACACUUGGAAACAGGUGCUAGUACCGUAUAACAAUCGAAACCGCAUGGUUUUGAUUUGAAAGGCGCUUGCGGGUGUCGCUGAUGGAUGGACCCGCGGUGCAUUAGCUAGUUGGGGAGGUAACGGCUCACCAAGGCAACGAUGCAUAGCCGAACCGAGAGGGUGAUCGGCCACAUUGGGACUGGGACACGGCCCAAACUCCUACGGGAGGCAGCAGUAGGGAAUCUUCGGCAAUGGACGAAAGUCUGACCGAGCAACGCCGCGUGAGUGAAGAAGGUUUUCGGAUCGUAAAACUCUGUUGUUAGAGAAGAACAAGGAUGAGAGUAACUGUUCAUCCCUUGACGGUAUCUAACCAGAAAGCCACGGCUAACUACGUGCCAGCCGCCGCAGUAA
rnacentral:rRNA from 1 species